GACGAACGCUGGCGGCGUGCUUAACACAUGCAAGUCGAGCGGAGUGGCGAACGGGUGAGUAACGCGUGAGUAACUGCCCCACUCUCUGGGAUAACAGUUGGAAACGGCUGCUAAUACCGGUUAGUGGGGGAUGACUCGCGUCCUAUCAGCUUGUGGGUGGGGUAGUGGCCUACCAAGGCGACGACGGGUAGCCGGCCGGGGGGGGCGACCGGCCACAUUGGGCUGAGGUACGGCCCGAACUCGUACGGGAGGCAGCAGUGGGGAAUAUUGCACAAUGGGGGAAACCCUGAUGCAGCAACGCGCGUGCGGAAUGACGGCCUUCGUGUUGUAAGCCGCUUUCGGACAUGACGCGGUAGUGGCAGAAGAAGCACCGGCUAACUACGAGCCAGCAGCCGCGGUAAUAC
rnacentral:rRNA from 1 species